rnacentral:rRNA from 1 species
AGUGAACGCUGGCGGUAGGCCUAACACAUGCAAGUCGAACGGCAGCACAGAGGAGCUUGCUCCUUGGGUGGCGAGUGGCGGACGUGUGAGGAAUACAUCGGAAUCUACUCUGUCGUGGGGGAUAACGUAGGGAAACUUACGCUAAUACCGCAUACGACCUACGGGUGAAAGCAGGGGACCUUCGGGCCUUGCGCGAUUGAAUGAGCCGAUGUGGGAUUAGCUAGUUGGCGGGGUAAAGGCCCACCAAGGCGACGAUCCGUAGCUGGUCUGAGAGGAUGAUCAGCCACACUGGAACUGAGACACGGUCCAGACUCCUACGGGAGGCAGCAGUGGGGAAUAUUGGACAAUGGGCGCAAGCCUGGUCCAGCCAUACCGCGUGGGUGAAGAAGGCCUUCGGGUUGUAAAGCCCUUUUGUUGGGAAAGAAAUCCAGCUGGCUAAUACCCGGUUGGGAUGACGGUACCCAAAGAAUAAGCACCGGCUAACUUCGUGCCAGCCGCCGCAGUAA